ensembl:lncRNA
CUGAUGUAAAACUAAUGAUCUAUAGGAUAAGUUAGUAGAUACACACACACAAAUGCGCACAUUUUAAAAAGUAAGAAUAGUCUCUGCUUUUGGGCAUGGAGCGAAUAUUUUGCAACACAAAGUGGAUAAAUCACAGGGCAAUGACAGAGCACACAGUAGCACUGGAUAAAGCACAAUGACUGAGCAAUUCACGAACUGUGGCAGACGUGUUGUAUUCAGGAGCAAGCACUGCAUCUAGAUGCACUGCUAAAGGCUCUGUAAAGCUGUAAGUGCUCUGUCUACACAGAAAAAUCUCUCCGUUGGGCUUUCAGUGAGCCAAAACGCUCACACUCUAGAUCUGCCCAUGCUGUCAGAACUAAGUGCCAUAGAGCUGCUCUGUAAGGAUAAGAAGAUAUUCAAGCAAGUAGUAAAAAGGGAUAAAAUAUAGUCCAGCAAAUUAUGGCUUGGUUACUUCCCACUUGGGACAUCACCCACUUCUAGGCACGUCACCAACACGGGACUCCAAACUAGCUAGUAAUUCUUUUCAAAUGAUCAAGGUAUUUACACAGUACUGCCAUUUCUUGAACUGUUUUAAGUUUAGUGUCAUCCUAAGAAUAAUUUGUUAGAAGAGGCAUUCCCAUUCACCUCCUUUAUUUGUUGUGAAGUGUCUACAAAGGAGUAGCAUGCAGUAUUUCAAUGUUAGCAGCUGUGGGUACACAUUGUCUCAUCUGAAAGAGGACUAAAUCCAAGACAAACUUUCUAAUGUCCUUUCAGGUCACUUACAUGAUAUUUGAAGUACAUUUGCCCCACCUGAACCAGACAAGGCUAUGCAAUUACCGAAUGGCAAGCUCACCUAUAUCACAAAACACCUGUCAAGAAGAAUAUUGCAAAAUCAUCAUCCCUCAAGACUUUUAAGGCGGGCUGAAGAAAGCAAUAUUAAAUAUGUAGCAUGAAACUGGCUGAAAAACAGAUAAGUAAAUAUUUCCAUCUGUAAUCUCUCUGACACGUUGAUUAUUGCUGAAGUUUAAAUUCUGAGAUUCACCAUCUUAGCAUUUAUUCACUUCUAACUUGCAUCUCCUCAAAUCUUGCCAAGGGAAUGCCACCUAAGGCUAACUGCCCUCAGAUCUCCACAAGAUAUGCACAAACAUAUAGUUUGUGUAAAAGAGCGAAACAACUUCCAGAAAGGAUUCCAGGUCAUUUGUUGAGUCUGACUGGAAAUAGCAUGGACCAUAUCUAGUCACAUUAGUCAUUCCAAAGCCUAUUCAUAGAAACAUUUUGGCCUGAUUGCAAGAUGCUGUGUCAAAUCUCGGUAAACUUAGUGUUAUCACAAAAACCCAUCAGCAGGACAAAGUAAAUGAAGUGCAAAUACUAGAAGAUGAAACAGUUGUUUUUCAUUGAACACAGAGGAACAGUAAUUACAAUCCAAUUUUAUUUCCUUUUUAAUAGCUUUAUGUCAUCCACUUCCACCAUGCGUGCCUUUGCUGGGGAGACUGUAUGAUUCAAAUUAAUCUACUUCUGGUCUACAAGGUCUUUUCAGUAAUGUAUUAUUGGAAAGUCUCAUUUUGAUGAUUUAUUAAUCUAAUGUAUCAUUAUAGAACUGUCAUGCCAUAUAGUUCCAUCCUUUCUUCCCGUCAGGUACUUUGGUGACAGUCUUCCUGAACAUGCUUGUGGCCAGCACUCAUUUCUAGAAAUAUGUUAAAUGCAACAAACAACAAAGAUGAGAUAAGGAAUUGCAGUUUUAUGCUUCCUCACAAAUAUAAAUAUCAGAAAGCACAGAAGUUACUAAGAAGGAAAGGACACUAAGUGAAAACUUGCUGAGAAAUCUGUGCUACCACUGUCCUGCCACAAAACAACAGUAUGUCAGGUGAUCAUGGAGUGCCAAUGCACAGGAAUGUAGGACAAGUCCAGCUGGUAA